UAGCAGCACGUCAAAACUGGAGUCACAAAGUUCAAUCCUCCAGUAUUGCCUUGCUGCUUGAGU
ensembl:miRNA mdo-mir-16b mdo-mir-16b